GGGCUGCGAAUAACUUCCAGAGUAGCUAGACCAAAAAAAAACCAUUUAUACUCGGGCUUCUCGGGCGGUACCGACAUCACCCUUGAUGGCACAGCCACGGUUACACCAGAUGGGGUUCUCAAGCUCACCAAUGACACUCUUCACCUCAAGGGCCAUGCUUUCUACCCAACCCCAUGGCGAUUCGCAAGUCGCCAACGGGGCGGUGCAAUUUUUCUCCAUCACAUUCGUGGUCGGCAUGGUCCCUGUCUACUCCGAUCAAUGUACUGAUGGCAUGACUUUCUUGAUAUCUCCCACCAAGGAUUUCUCGGGUGCACAACACUCUCAAACCUGAGCCUCCUCAACAAAACAAGCAAUGGCAAGCCAAGCAACCAGAUAUUUGCAGUCGAGCUUGAUAGCAGCCAAAAUACAGAGUUCGGCGACGUCGAUGACAACCAUGUCGGCAUCGACAUCAAUAGCCUCACCUCCACUGAAGCCCGACCGUCUGGCUUCUAUGAUGACAAGAGCAACGGCGUCUUCAACAACUUGUCCCUCGUUAGCCGCAAGGAAAUGCAAGUGUGGGUAGAUUAUGAUAGAGAUACCACUUAGAUCAGUGUGACCUUGGCCCCCCUCAAGGUAGCCAAACCGUGGAGGCGACUAGUUUCAACCACGUACAACGGCCUCUCAACAGUACUACAAGAUCAGUCCUACCUCGGAUUCUCGGCUUCAACUGGUCCGAUAAACUCACUGUAUUGUGUGCUUGGCUGGAGCUUGGGCAUAAACCGUCCUGCACCAGACAUUGACAUCACCAAGCUGCCAAAGCUACCUCGGAUUGGCCCCAAACCUCAGCCCAAAUUUAUGCAGAUCGUCCUACCAAUAGCCACUGCCACAUUCAUCUUUCUUGUUGGAACAACUAUAUAUCUAUUGGUGCGGAGGCGAAGGAGGUAUGCCGAGCUACACGAAGAUUGGGAGGAUGAGUAUGGGCCACACCCCUUCCUUCUCCNGGAUUUAGUCCAUGCUACUCAAGGAUUUCAUGAAAAGAACCUACUUGGCCAUGGAGGAUUUGGGAAGGCGUAUAAAGGCGUGCUUCCGGUCUCUAAACUCGAGGUUGCGGUGAAGAGGGUGUCCCACGAGUCAAAGCAGGGGAUAAAGGAGUUCAUCGCCGAGAUUGUUAGUAUCGGCCGUAUCCGCCACCGCAACAUAGUCCAGUUACUGGGUUAUUGUAGGAGAAAAGGUGAACUUCUAUUGGUCUAUGACUAUAUGUCAAAUGGUAGUCUUGACCAGUACCUACAUGCAUCAUCAAGAACUGGAGGAGGAUUUGAAAUCACUCUAGAUUAGGCUCGGAGAUUUGAAAUCAUCAAAGGCGUUGCAUCCGGCUUAUUCUACCUUGAUGAGAGGUUGGAGAAAGUUGUCAUCCAUCGAGACAUCAAAGCAAGCAAUGUGCUUCUCGAUAGUGAAAUGAAUGGACGCCUAGGUCUAGGUGACUUUGGCCUUUCAAGGUUGUAUGACCAUGGCACCGAUCCACAAACAACGCGUGUUGUCAGCACCAUGGGGUAUUUCGCUCCGGAGCUAGCGCGCACCGGUAAGGCAACGCCUCUAACAGAUGUGUGCGCAUUUGGCAUUUUCAUCCUCGAGGUAACUUGCGGACGGAGGCCAAUUAUUGACAACGGUCAGGAAGAGGAUGACGGUUCGGAGAUAAUGAUUGACUGGGUUGUGGAGCAUUGGCGCAAAGGGUCGCUCACAGACACGCUGGACAGGAGGCUACGAGGCAGCAACUGCAACCCCGACGAGGUACAUCUGGCGUUAAAGCUGGGAUUGUUGUGUGCGCAUCCGUUCGGCAAUGUAAGGCCCAGUAUGCGGCAAGUCAUGCAAUACCUCGACGGUGACACGCCCCUCUCUGAGCUGAUGCCCACAAACUUGAGUUAUAGCAUGAUGGGCGUAUUGCAGAAUGAUGGUUUCAGCCAGUACGCAUCAUUGAGUGCCGCAGUUAGCAGCAGGAAUGGAAGUCAUUCUGAAUAA
rnacentral:rRNA from 1 species